GCGGUCUGUCAAGUCGGAUGUGAAAUCCCCGGGCUCAACCUGGGAACUGCAUUCGAAACUGGCAGGCUUGAGUCUUGUAGAGGGGGGUAGAAUUCCAGGUGUAGCGGUGAAAUGCGUAGAGAUCUGGAGGAAUACCGGUGGCGAAGGCGGCCCCCUGGACAAAGACUGACGCUCAGGUGCGAAAGCGUGGGGAGCAAACAGGAUUAGAUACCCUGGUAGUCCACGCCGUAAACGAUGUCUACUUGGAGGUUGUGCCCUUGAGGCGUGGCUUCCGGAGCUAACGCGUUAAGUAGACCGCCUGGGGAGUACGGCCGCAAGGUUAAAACUCAAAUGAAUUG
rnacentral:rRNA from 1 species